rnacentral:rRNA from 1 species
GAUGAACGCUGGCGGCGUGCCUAAUACAUGCAAGUCGAGCGAACGGACGAGAAGCUUGCUUCUCUGAUGUUAGCGGCGGACGGGUGAGUAACACGUGGAUAACCUACCUAUAAGACUGGGAUAACUUCGGGAAACCGUAGCUAAUACCGGAUAAUAUUUUGAACCGCAUGGUUCAAAAGUGAAAGACGGUCUUGCUGUCACUUAUAGAUGGAUCCGCGCUGCAUUAGCUAGUUGGUAAGGUAACGGCUUACCAAGGCAACGAUGCAUAGCCGACCUGAGAGGGUGAUCGGCCACACUGGAACUGAGACACGGUCCAGACUCCUACGGGAGGCAGCAGUAGGGAAUCUUCCGCAAUGGGCGAAAGCCUGACGGAGCCACGCCGCGUGAGUGAUGAAGGUCUUCGGAUCGUAAAACUCUGUUAUUAGGGAAGAACAUAUGUGUAAGUAACUGUGCACCUCUUGACGGUACCUAAUCAGAAAGCCACGGCUAACUACGUG